UACGAGUGGUGCAAGCGUUAUUCGGAUUUAUUGGGCGUAAAGGGUGUGUAGGCAGUAUAUCAAGUCUGUUGUUAAAUAUCUCGGCCUAACCGAGAAGAUGCAGUGGAUACGGGCAGACUAGAGGCAGGUAGGGGAGAAUGGAAUUCCCGGUGUAGCGGUGAAAUGCGCAGAUAUCGGGAGGAACACCGGUGGCGAAGGCGGUUCUCUGGGCCUGACCUGACGCUGAGGAGCGAAAGCGUGGGGAGUGAACAGG
rnacentral:rRNA from 1 species